CCUACGGGAGGCUGCAGUGAGGAAUAUUGGUCAAUGGCCGGAAGGCUGAACCAGCCAUGCCGCGUGAAGGUCAGUGCCCUAUGGGCGUUAAACUUCUUUUGUGCGGGAGCAAUAAUGGUCACGUGUGGCCAGACGAGAGUACCGUACGAAUAAGCAUCGGCUAACUCCGUGCCAGCAGCCGCGGUAAUACGUAGGGUGCGAGCGUUAAUCGGAAUUACUGGGCGUAAAGGGUGCGCAGGCGGCUACAUAAGUCAGAUGUGAAAUCCCCGGGCUUAACCUGGGAACUGCGUUUGAAACUAUGUGGCUAGAGUACAGCAGAGGGGGGUGGAACUCCAUGUGUAGCAGUGAAAUGCGUAGAUAUAUGGAAGAACAUCGAUGGCGAAGGCAGCCCCCUGGGUUGAUACUGACGCUCAUGCACGAAAGCGUGGGGAGCAAACAGGAUUAGAUACCCCUGUAGUC
rnacentral:rRNA from 1 species